AUUUUGGACAAUGGGGGAAACCCUGAUCCAGCCAUCCCGCGUGUGCGAUGAAGGCCUUCGGGUUGUAAAGCACCUGUGGCAGGGAAGAAAAGGCUCUGGGUAAUACCUGGAGCUGCUGACGGUACCUGCAGAAUAAGCAACGGCUAACUACGUGCCAGCAGCCGCGGUAAUACGUAGGGUGCAAGGGUUCAUCGGAAUUCCUGGGCGUAAAGCGUGCGAAGGCGGUUUGGCAAGAAGGAUGUGAAAUCCCAGGGCUUAACCUUGGAACUGCAUUCUUAACUGCCAGGCUAGAGUAUGUCAGAGGGGGGUAGAAUUCCGCGUGUAGCAGUGAAAUGCGUAGAUAUGUGGAGGAAUACCGAUGGCGAAGGCAGCCCCCUGGGAUAAUACUGACGCUCAGACACGAAAGCGUGGGGAGCAAACAG
rnacentral:rRNA from 1 species